rnacentral:rRNA from 1 species
UGCAGUCGACGGCAGCGCGGGGCAACCUGGCGGCGAGUGGCGAACGGGUGAGUAAUAUAUCGGAACGUACCCAGAAGUGGGGGAUAACGUAGCGAAAGUUACGCUAAUACCGCAUACGAUCUACGGAUGAAAGUGGGGGACCUUCGGGCCUCAUGCUUGUGGAGCGGCCGAUAUCUGAUUAGCUAGUUGGUGAGGUAAAGGCCUACCAAGGCGACGAUCAGUAGCUGGUCUGAGAGGACGACCAGCCACACUGGGACUGAGACACGGCCCAGACUCCUACGGGAGGCAGCAGUGGGGAAUUUUGGACAAUGGGCGCAAGCCUGAUCCAGCAAUGCCGCGUGAGUGAAGAAGGCCUUCGGGUUGUAAAGCUCUUUUGUCAGGGAAGAAACGGCUGAGGAUAAUACCUUCGGCUAAUGACGGUACCUGAAGAAUAAGCACCGGCUAACUACGUGCCAGCAGCCGCGGUAAUACGUAGGGUGCAAGCGUUAAUCGGAAUUACUGGGCGUAAAGCGUGCGCAGGCGGUUUUGUAAGUCUGUCGUGAAAGCCCCGGGCUCAACCUGGGAAUUGCGAUGGAGACUGCAAGGCUUGAAUCUGGCAGAGGGGGGUAGAAUUCCACGUGUAGCAGUGAAAUGCGUAGAGAUGUGGAGGAACACCGAUGGCGA